rnacentral:lncRNA from 1 species
UGCAGGUAAAAGUUGAAGGAAUCAGUUAAAGAUGAUUGCGACAAAACCAAUAAAUUGGAAGCUAAGGUAGAGAUGACUCCUAUAUAUAAGGACUUGCCUCAACACAAACAAAAUGCGAAGCAAGAAGAACAGAAACUUUCUCAAAUUUAUAGAUAGCAUUGUGAUUUAGCAUCUCUAAAAAUGGCAUCCACUCAAUUGGAUCAUCUUGUCAGGAUCGGGCAUGAAGGGUUUGAUCGAAGCAGCUCGAGCGGCAGGUCAGAGAACAACAGGCAUCAUCAAAAUAAUCAACAACAAUUAGUUUACUAUGGACCUCAAGUUUCAACGAUGAGGAUGCCAGUCAUCGUCUCCAAUAGUUAUGAGAUUGCUCAAUACUACUGCAGUGGCACCGACACUGUGAGAGAGCCUGUCAUCUUCAGCGACGAGGCAAUGAAAAUUCACGGUGGCUUUGUGACCAUGGACUAUGGUAGGAGAUACCAUUUUCAUUCUACCAAUUAGCGUAGAAGCUAGAAAAGCUUUAGAAUGUUGUUAGUUUUUUUCUUUUUUCCUUUCUAAUUAUCAGUAUUUAAAUUCUCAAUUACAGUACGGGAGAGAAUUAAAUAAUAGUGUUUGUGGACUGUUAAUUACUAGUUAAAGAUGCAUAAGGUGUCUGUUUUACUAUAAAAUUUUCCAUAAUUAAGGCGUAUUUCAUCCAUGAUAUGAUCUCUAUAUCCAUAUAUAGGCAAUUGGGAUGGACAACCAUACUUUGAUUCACAUAUUAUUGCUCUCUUUGAUUUAUU